rnacentral:rRNA from 1 species
GACGAACGCUGGCGGCGUGCUUAACACAUGCAAGUCGAACGGAAAGGCCCUGCUUUUGUGGGGUGCUCGAGUGGCGAACGGGUGAGUAACACGUGAGUAACCUGCCCUUGACUUUGGUAUAACUUCAGGAAACUGGGGCUAAUACCGUAUAGGAGCUCCUGCUGCAUGGUGGGGGUUGGAAAGUUUCGGCGGUUGGGGAUGGACUCGCGGCUUAUCAGCUUGUUGGUGGGGUAGUUGCUUACCAAGGCUUUGACGGGUAGCCGGCCUGAGAGGGUGACCGGCCACCUUGGGACUGAGAUACGGCGCAGAGUGCUACGGGAGGCAGCAGUGGGGAAUCUUGUCCAAUGGGAGGAAGCCUGAUGAAGAGACGCCGCGUGCGGGAUGACGGCCUGCGGGUUGUAAACCGCUUCCGCCUGUGACGACGCGUGAGUGACGGUAAUGGGUAAAGAAGCACCGGCUAACUACGUG